rnacentral:rRNA from 1 species
AAACGGCGUUGCUUUACCUGCAAGUCGAGCGAGGCGGCCCGCAAGGGUCAGUCGAGCGGCGAACGGGUGAGUAACACGUGGAUUAUCUGCCCAGAGGUGGGGGAUAACCCGGGGAAACUCGGGCUAAUACCGCAUAUGACCGUGAGGUCAAAGGGGGGGUCGCAAGAUCUCUCGCCAUUGGAGGAGUCCGCGUCCGAUUAGCUAGUUGGUAGGGUAAUGGCCUACCAAGGCGACGAUCGGUAGCCGGCCUGAGAGGGUGAUCGGCCACACUGGAACUGAGACACGGUCCAGACUCCUACGGGAGGCAGCAGCGGGGAAUUUUGCGCAAUGGGCUAACGCCUGACGCAGCAACGCCGCGUGGAGGAUGAAGGUCUUUGGAUUGUAAACUCCUGUCAGCAGGGAAAAAGCAACCUAACCUCAUACGUUAGGAAGUUGAUUGUACCUGCAGAGGAAGCCCCGGCUAACUCUGUGCCAGCAGCCGCGGUAAUACAGAGGGGGCAAGCGUUACUCGGAAUUAUUGGGCGUAAAGGGCGCGUAGGCGGCUUGGCAAGUGGAUGGUGAAAUCCCUCGGCUUAACCGAGGAACUGCCAUCCAGACUGCUUUGCUUGAGGCCGGGAGAGGUGAGUGGAAUUCCCAGUGUAGCGGUGAAAUGCGUAGAUAUUGGGAGGAACACCAGUGGCGAAGGCGGCUCACUGGACCGGUUCUGACGCUGAUGCGCGAAAGCGUGGGGAGCAAACGGGAUUAGAUACCCCGGUAGUCCACGCCGUAAACGAUGAGUGCUUGGGUGUAGC